rnacentral:lncRNA from 1 species
UGGGUUUUGGGUUUUUUUUGAGCCCCUUUUUUUGUUUUGUUUUUUAUUUUCUUAGUGUUGUACAUUAUUAUAUAUGUUAGGUUAUCAUGGUCAUCUCAGUAGAAAGCUCUUGAGUAGAUGGUUUUUUUGUUUUUGAGAAUCAGCCCAAGGAGAUUCAUAUUAUGUGGCCAUAGCUGGGUAAUAUUAUUCUGAGCUAUGUGAAGUUGCUGGUUUUGUUGCUCAAAUGUUAGCAGUUUCAUAAUACAUAUUCAAGAAACAACCAAACAAAAGAUCUUUUCGAAGAGCUAUUUCAACUUCCCAAUUCAACUCUUUUAACCAACCUACCAGAGGCUUUAUAAAGAUUCAAACUGCAGAUAACCAGAGGCCUAUCAAGAAAAUUCUGCUUUGUUUUGCUGUUAAAUUGCCCAGUUUUCAAAGGUAUUUAAGCAAAAUGACUUCAGUAAUUGAAGCAAAUAUCUUUGGGGAAUGCUUAAGUUACGUAAGUUUUUUCAUUAAAUCUGUGUAUAGUUU